rnacentral:rRNA from 1 species
UACAGAGGGUGCAAGCGUUGUUCGGAAUUAUUGGGCGUAAAGCGUGCGCAGGCGGUUUUGUAAGCCAGAUGUGAAAGCCCCGGGCUUAACCUGGGAAUGGCAUUUGGGACUGCAAGGCUUGAGUUUGGCAGAGGAGACUGGAAUUCCUGGUGUAGCAGUGAAAUGCGUAGAUAUCAGGAGGAAUACCGAUGGCGAAGGCAGGUCUCUGGGCUAUAACUGACGCUCAUGCACGAAAGCGUGGGGAGCAAACAGG